AAACUAACUAGGAUGCCUUCAGUAACGGCGAGCGAAGCAGGCAUAGCUCAAAUUUGUAAUCUGGCGCCUUUGGCGUCCGAGUUGUAUUUUCUAGAAGCGAGUUCGGCGACAGCUCCUACCCAAGUCCGUUGGAACGCGGCGUCAUGGAGGGUGAGAAUCCCGUGAAUGGUAGGAUGUCUGCUGCUAUGUGAACCGCCUUCGAAGAGUCGAGUUGUUUGGGAAUGCAGCUCUAAAUGGGAGGUAAAUUUCUUCUAAAGCUAAAUAUUGGCCAGAGACCGAUAGCGAACAAGUAGAGUGAUCGAAAGAUGAAAAGAACUUUGAAAAGAGAGUUAAACAGUACGUGAAAUUGUUGAAAGGGAAGCGCUUGAGAUCAGACUUCCUGUCUGGACUGUCCUUGCUUUUGCUUGGGUCAACAGUCCAGGCGUGGAGGCCAGCAUCAGUUUUGACGGCCGGAUAAAGGCCUUGGGAAGGUAGCUCCCCUCGGGGAGUGUUAUAGCCCAGGGUGUAAUACGGCCAGUUGGGACUGAGGACCGCGGCUCUGCCUAGGAUGCUGGCGUAAUGGUCUUAAGCGAC
rnacentral:rRNA from 4 species